AACUGAAGAGUUUGAUCAUGGCUCAGAUUGAACGCUGGCGGCAGGCUUAACACAUGCAAGUCGAGCGGGGGAAGGUAGCUUGCUACUGGACCUAGCGGCGGACGGGUGAGUAAUGCUUAGGAAUCUGCCUAUUAGUGGGGGACAACAUCUCGAAAGGGAUGCUAAUACCGCAUACGUCCUACGGGAGAAAGCAGGGGAUCUUCGGACCUUGCGCUAAUAGAUGAGCCUAAGUCGGAUUAGCUAGUUGGUGGGGUAAAGGCCUACCAAGGCGACGAUCUGUAGCGGGUCUGAGAGGAUGAUCCGCCACACUGGGACUGAGACACGGCCCAGACUCCUACGGGAGGCAGCAGUGGGGAAUAUUGGACAAUGGGGGGAACCCUGAUCCAGCCAUGCCGCGUGUGUGAAGAAGGCCUUAUGGUUGUAAAGCACUUUAAGCGAGGAGGAGGCUACUUUAGUUAAUACCUAGAGAUAGUGGACGUUACUCGCAGAAUAAGCACCGGCUAACUCUGUGCCAGCAGCCGCGGUAAUACAGAGGGUGCGAGCGUUAAUCGGAUUUAC
rnacentral:rRNA from 1 species